AGAAGCAGCCAUCAUUUAAAGAAAGCGUAAUAGCUCACUGGUCGAGUCGGCCUGCGCGGAAGAUGUAACGGGGCUAAACCAUGCACCGAAGCUGCGGCAGCGAACGUAUCACUUAAAGCGAUUCAGCGGGUUACGAUUGACGGAGCGAAGCGACGUCAAAGCGUAUACAAAGUCGAGUCGGUUUAAGGAUACGUUCGUUGGGUAGGGGAGCGUUCUGUAAGCCUGUGAAGGUGGCCUGUGAGGGUUGCUGGAGGUAUCAGAAGUGCGAAUGCUGACAUAAGUAACGAUAAAGCGGGUGAAAAGCCCGCUCGCCGGAAGACCAAGGGUUC
rnacentral:rRNA from 1 species